rnacentral:rRNA from 1 species
AACCUGGUUGAUCCUGCCAGUAGUCAUAUGCUUGUCUCAGAGAUUAAGCCAUGCAUGUCUAAGUACAAACCUUUAAACGGUGAAACCGCGAAUGGCUCAUUAAAUCAGCUAUGGUUCCUUAGAUCGUACAUACUACAUGGAUAACUGUAGUAAUUCUAGAGCUAAUACAUGCCACUAUGCCCUGACCCGCGAGGGAACGGGUGGAUUUAUUAGAACAGAACCAACCGGGGGCGGCUUCGGUCGUUCCUGUUGCAUUCUGUGAUGACUCUGGAUAACUUCACUGAUCGCAGUCGGCCUUGUGUCGGCGACGGAUCUUUCAAAUGUCUGCCCUAUCAAUUUUCGAUGGUAGGUGACCUGCCUACCAUGGUGCUAACGGGUAACGGGGAAUCAGGGUUCGAUUCCGGAGAGGGAGCCUGAGAAACGGCUACCACUUCCAAGGAAGGCAGCAGGCACGCAAAUUACCCAAUCCCGGCACGGGGAGGUAGUGACGAAAAAUACGGAUACGGGACUCACUAGAGGCUCCGUAAUUCGAAUGAGUACAUUUUAAAUCCUUUAACGAGGAUCAACUGGAGGGCAAGUCUGGUGCCAGCAGCCGCGGUAACUCCAGCUCCAGAAGCGUAUAUUAAAGUUGUUGCAGUUAAAAAGCUCGUAGUUGGAUCUGGGUUGCAUGGCUACACGCCGUCGCUCGUUGGUCUGGCCUGGUUUCCACCGGGUUGAGCUUGCGAGUCGGUUUCGUGGUUGUGCUUCCUUUCUGCUGUGUCUGUUUACAGGUGUCAGCGUGACCGGUGGGCUUGCCUGCUGGUCUGUUGGCAUGCUUCUUGGUGCCUUUAAACGGGUGUCGGAGGCGGACAGCACGUUUACUUUGAACAAAUUUGAGUGCUCAAAGCAGGCCUUUGUGCCUGAAAAUUCUUGCAUGGAAUAAUGGAAUAGGACUUCGGUUCUAUUUUGUUGGUUUUCGGAUCCGAAGUAAUGGUUAAGAGGGACAGACGGGGGCAUUUGUAUGGCGGUGUUAGAGGUGAAAUUCUUGGAUCGCCGCCAGACAAACUACAGCGAAAGCAUUUGCCAAGGAUGUUUUCAUUGAUCUUGAGCGAAAGUCAGAGGUUCGAAGACGAUCAGAUACCGUCCUAGUUCUGACCAUAAACGAUGCCAACUGACGAUCCGUGGCGGUUCUUUAUGUGUCCCCACGGGCAGUCCCCGGGAAACCCUUAAGUCUUUGGGCUCCGGGGGAAGUAUGGUUGCAAAGCUGAAACUUAAAGGAAUUGACGGAAGGGCACCACCAGGAGUGGAGCCUGCGGCUUAAUUCGACUCAACACGGAAAACUCACCCGGCCCGGACACUGUGAGGAUUGACAGAUUGAUAGCUCUUUCUUGAUUCGGUGGUUGGUGGUGCAUGGCCGUUCUUAGUUGGUGGAGCGAUUUGUCUGGUUAAUUCCGAUAACGAAUGAGACUUUGGCCUGCUAAAUAGUAUGCCUGUCCUCUGUGCUCGUGCAGGUUUCGUUGUCCAUUGCCUCCUCGUGGGGUAGUGGUUACGUUGACCGGCGAAUGCGGCGCAGGUAAUUACUUCUUAGAGGGACAAGCGGCCUUCAGUCGCACGAAAAUGAGCAAUAACAGGUCUGUGAUGCCCUUAGAUGUCCGGGGCCGCACGUGCGCUACAAUGACGGUUUCAGCGAGUUUGGAAUCCUGGCCUGAGCAGGUCGGGUAAACUGUAUCAUAACCGUCGUGACUGGGAUCGGGGCUUGCAAUUGUUCCCCGUGAACGAGGAAUUCCUGGUAAGUGCAAGUCAUAAGCUUGCGCUGAUUACGUCCCUGCCCUUUGUACACACCGCCCGUCGCUACUACCGAUUGAAUGGUUUAGCGAGGUCCUCGGAUUGGUGCCAUUGUAGUGGCUUCGGCCGCUCGACCGGUGCUGAGAAGACGACCAAACUUGAUCAUUUAGAGGAAGUAAAAGUCGUAACAAGGUUUCCGUAGGUGAACCUGCAG